rnacentral:misc_RNA from 1 species
GAUGAAGAACGUAGCGAAAUGCGAUAAGUAAUGUGAAUUGCAGAAUUCAGUGAAUCAUCGAAUCUUUGAACGCACAUUGCGCCCGCCAGUAUUCUGGCGGGCAUGCCUGUUCGAGCGUCAUUUCAACCAUCAAGCCCUGCUUGCGAUGGGGUCCUGCGGCUGCCCGCAGGCCCUGAAAACCAGUGGCGGGCUCGCUAGUCACACCGAGCGCAGUAAUACAUCUCGCUUUGGGCGUGCGGCGGGUUAUUGCCGUUAAACACCCCCUUUUUACCAAGGUUGACCUCGGAUCAGGUAGGAAUACCCGCUGAACUUAAGCAUAUCAAUAAGCGGAGGA